AAUCUUAAAAAAAUAAAAAAAUAAAAAUGGAAUGAUACAGAGAAGAUUAGCAUGCCCCCUAUGCAAAGAUGACAUGCAAACCUGCGAAGUGUCCCAUAUUUUU